GGGAGUGGUGAGUUUGAAGAUCAGGGGAAUACACCAAAAUAUCGUCCAAAUAAACCAAGACAAAUGAGUAAAUGAAUUCCCUGAGUACAUCAUUUAUAAAGUCUUGGAAUACGGCCGGGGCAUUGCAUAACCCAAAUGGCAUUACCAGAUAUUCAUGGUGUCCACUACGGGUAUUAAAUGCCGUCUUCCACUCAUGAUUCUCUUUAAUUCUAACCAAAUUGUAAGCGCUCCUAAGGUCAAGCUUAGUAAAUACUUAGCUCCCUGAAGUCUAUCGAACAAUUCGGAAAUGAGUGGGAUAGGGUAUGCAUUUUUUACAGUGAUUUUAUUAAGUGCCCUGUAG